rnacentral:rRNA from 1 species
GGAAAGGUGAAAAGGACCCCGGGAGGGGAGUGAAAGAGAACCUGAAACCCUGUGUCUACAAGCUGUGGAAGAUCUUUACAUGAUCAACCGCGUACUUUUUGUAGAACGGUCCGGCGAGUUGCCAUGUCUGGCAAGGUUAAGUACUUAAGGUACGGAGCCGAAGUGAAAGCAAGUGUUAACAGCACGUUGAGUCAGACCGGGCAGACCCGAAACCGGGUGAUCUACCCAUGUCCAGGUUGAAGUUGCCGUAAAAGGCAAUGGAGGACCGAACGCACAUCCGUUGAAAAGGGUGGCGAUGAGGUGUGGGUAGGGGAGAAAUUCCAAUCGAACCCGGAGAUAGCUGGUUCUCCUCGAAAUAGCUUUAGGGCUAGCCUCAUAUUAGUCUUGCGGAGGUAGAGCACUGAAUAUCCUAGGGGGCGUCAAAGCUUACCGAAGAUUAUCAAACUCCGAAUGCCGUAAAGAUGAUGUAUGGGAGUCAGACUGCACGAGAUAAGUUGGGUAGUCAAAAGGGAAAGAGCCCAGACCUACAGCUAAGGUCCCAAAGUACGUGUUAAGUGGAAAAGGAUGUGGGAUUUCGAAGACAACUAGGAUGUUGGCUCAGAAGCAGCCAUACAUUCAAAGAGUGCGUAAUAGCUCACUAGUCGAGAGGUCCUGCGCCGAAAAUGUCCGGGGCUGAAACACGACACCGAAGCUUAGGAAUCGAAAGAUUGGUAGAGGAGCAUUGAAUACGGAACGAAGCAGUACCGGAAGGAGCUGUGGACUGUAUUGAAGAGAGAAUGCCGGAAUGAGUAGCGAGAUUUAAGUGAGAAUCUUAAAGGCCGAAUAUCUAAGGUUUCCAGGGUAAAGCUGAUCUUCCCUGGGUAAGUCGGGGCCUAAGGCGAGGACGAAAGUCGUAGUCGAUGGAUAACAGGUUGAAAUUCCUGUACCGCAUAUAUUCAGAAAUGUGGGGACACAGAUGGAGAGUACAGCCCGGGAAUGGAUAGACCGGGGCAAGCGAGGUAGGAGAAUGGCAGGCAAAUCCACCAUUCAAUCUGAAGACGUGACGCGUACCGAACAAGAGUAGGGAAGUGUAUGAGCCAGCUGUCGAGAAAAGCCGCUAUUGUGAUAUAUGUGCCCGUACCGUAAACCGACACAGGUGGAUGAGGAGAGAAUCCUAAGGCCGGCGGGAGAAGCAUUGUUAAGGAACUCGGCAAAAUGACCCCGUAACUUCGGGAGAAGGGGUGCCUGCGAGAGCAGGCCGCAGAGAAUAGGCUCAAGCAACUGUUUAGCAAAAACACAGGUCUAUGCAAAACCGAAAGGUGAGGUAUAUGGGCUGACGCCUGCCCGGUGCUGGAAGGUUAAGAGGAGAGGUUAGCGCAAGCGAAGCUUUGAAUUUAAGCCCCAGUAAACGGCGGCCGUAACUAUAACGGUCCUAAGGUAGCGAAAUUCCUUGUC